AAGACCUUGCGCUUUUGGAGCGGCCGAUGCCUGAUUAGCUUGUUGGUAAGGUAAAAGCUUACCAAGGCUUCGAUCAGUAGCUGGUCUGAGAGGACGGCCAGCCACACUGGGACUGAGACACGGCCCAGACUCCUACGGGAGGCAGCAGUGGGGAAUUUUGGACAAUGGGGGCAACCCUGAUCCAGCCAUGCCGCGUGAGUGAAGAAGGCCUUCGGGUUGUAAAGCUCCUUCAGCCGGAACGAAACGGUUACGGUUAAUACCCGUGAUUACUGACGGUACCGGAAGAAGAAGCACCGGCUAACUACGUGCCAGCAGCCGCGGUAAUACGUAGGGUGCGAGCGUUAAUCGGAAUUACUGGGCGUAAAGCGUGCGCAGGUGGUUUUGUAAGUCAGAUGUGAAAGCCCCGGGCUCAACCUGGGAACU
rnacentral:rRNA from 1 species